rnacentral:rRNA from 1 species
UGGGGAAUAUUGCACAAUGGGGAAGACCCUGAUGCAGCGACGCCGCGUGAAGGAAGAAGUAUCUCGGUAUGUAAACUUCUAUCAGCAGGGAAGAAAAUGACGGUACCUGACUAAGAAGCCCCGGCUAACUACGUGCCAGCAGCCGCGGUAAUACGUAGGGGCAAGCGUUAUCCGGAUUUACUGGGUGUAAAGGGAGCGUAGACGGAGCAGCAAGUCUGAUGUGAAAGGCGGGGCGUCAACCCCGCCGCACGUAUUGGAAACUGUUGAUCUUGAGUACCGGAGAGGUAAGCGGAAUUCCUAGUGUAGCGGUGAAAUGCGUAGAUAUUAGGAGGAACACCAGUGGCGAAGGCGGCUUACUGGACGGUAACUGACGUUGAGGCUCGAAAGCGUGGGGAGCAAACAGGAUUAGAUACC